CCAUUUGAAGCGGAAACACAUCACCAAGUUUGCGCGCGCAGGUUUUAAAGGUUGAAGGACAUUCUCCUGCUGUCCGGGUUUCAAACAAAAGUGGAGAAAGAAGAAAGACGUGAAUAAACACAAGUGGAAGAAGAAGAAAAAUAUAAGUGUCGUCGAGCUAAAGUGUCAGAAGAAAGAAGGGAACAAACAAGACAAGUUUUGUCAAUAUGGCGACUCCUCCAAAGCUCGCCCGCGCUUUUUCCACUGGACCAAACUUUUCCCGCCGUCACAAAAAGAUUUCAAUCGAAGGAAAUAUCGCGGCCGGGAAGUCCACCUUUGUGCGAGUUCUCCAAAGGGCGUCAUCAGACUGGGAGGUCAUACCUGAACCCAUCGGCAAGUGGUGCAAUGUCCACAAUGACAGCGGGGACGUUUACCAGGAGCUGAGUUCCUCCCAGAAGAGCGGAGGAAAUCUGCUACACAUGCUCUACGACAAACCCAGCCGUUGGUCCUACACCUUCCAGAGUUACGCAUGUCUCAGCAGAGUUCGCGCCCAGCUUAAGUCGCCAUCAGUCAAACUUCAGCAGGCGGAAAACCCAAUUCAGUUCUUCGAGCGUUCCGUCUACUCGGACAGGUACGUGUUUGCGUCCAACCUGUAUGAGUCUGGCAACAUAAGCGAGACGGAGUGGAGCGUCUACCAGGACUGGCACGGAUGGUUGCUCGGUAGCUUUGAGGAGGACAUCGCUCUCGACGCCAUCAUUUACCUGAGAGCCGACCCACAGUGCUGCAUGCAGCGUCUGAUCCACCGCGGUCGAGAAGAAGAGAGCGACAUUCCUCUGGAGUAUUUGGAACAACUUCACCUGAAACAUGAAGAUUGGCUCGUCCACAGGAAGCUCAGGACAAAAAGGACAGCCAAAAGUGGUUGGUGAAUGAGAAGAAUAAAUCUGAAGACUGGACUUUGAUUACCUGAAUCAUGUUCCUGUCCUCGUUUUGGACGUCAACGACAACUUCAAGAACGAUGGCAUCAAACAGGAAGCGAUCGUGGACAAGGUCAAAGAGUUCCUCUCCACGUUGUAGGAGACACUUUCACUGUGGACUAUAUCAAUCUUUGCGCUCUUCUUGCGUGUCUUGUCCCACGCCGACACUCAGGAUGCAAUACAGAAAAGAGACACAUUCAUUGGAUAUAUGUCCUGCUCGUCAUGAGGACUUCUGAGCGUUACUUCUGCACCUGACCAUCCACAAAACUCACCUUGGAUUCUUUAUAUGAGUUUUAAAUCUGUCAGACACCGACUGGAGUCUUUGAGAUCUUGUUUUUAUUUAAAAUUAAAGCUUGUCAUGGUAGCUAGCAAUCAU